rnacentral:piRNA from 1 species
UCCAUGUGUCUUCUUUUGUGAUUGGGUUA